rnacentral:lncRNA from 10 species
GGAAUUGGGCCACUCAGCAGCCCCGGCUCUGCUCCAACUGGCCCAGCCAAACUCUGCCUUUUUCCGCCAGUCAAUGGCCUCCCAUCCUGCCAGUGCCUGUCAGCAUGCUCUUCUAGGCACAGGACUGGGGCAUGGCAGGCCAGGGUGAUCUUGGGAAAUGCAACAUUUGGGUGCAAAGGCGGAAGUGUCUGUUUUCAUUUAGGUCCGUGGGGGUGGAGCCCUAGCCAGGCUUAUCUUCAAAAUUUGUCACUUUCUCUUGAAUACCAUUUAUCUCUUCUUUUUUGAUAUUUAAAAUUUUAUUCCUUUUCAUACUGCAUUUUUUGUUGUGAUUUGUUGUGUUUUUCUCCAUUCCUUCUAUUUCGGUUUUUAUGUCUAUGUUUUAUUUUAUAGUUACUUUGUAUGAGAUUUGACUUUGAUACUUUUCGAUUUGGAUUUCAUUUGGUUCUGAACUUGUAGAAGGAAACAGUUCAGACGUCUUCUCUGAUAU